CCCUUAGAUGUUCUGGGCCGCACGCGUGCUACACUGAGUGGAUCAGCGGGUCAGGUUGCGCGAAAGUGUUUCCUAAUCUUUAAAUCCGCUCGUGAUGGGGAUUGACGGUUGCAAUUUUCCGUCAUGAACGAGGAAUACCUUGUAAGCGCGGGUCAUCAUCCCGCGCUGAAUACGUCCCUGCCCUUUGUACACACCGCCCGUCGCUCCUACCGAUUGAGUGAUCCAGUGAAUAAUUCGGACUGCAGCACUGCUUGGUCUCCAGGCUUUGCAGCGGAAAGUUUAGUGAACCUUAUCACUUAGAGGAAGGAGAAGUCGUAACA
rnacentral:rRNA from 1 species